rfam:Oryza sativa Indica Group scaffold004585 genomic scaffold, whole genome shotgun sequence.
UGUAAGCGUUGAGCGUGCGCUGGCACAAAGCGGAGCGCACGCAGUCCUGUUUUUCAAAGCGGAUAACGCCGAUCAUCUCGUCCUCUUCGAAGCGCUCCAGGGCAUCGCUGAGACCGGAUUUCACGCCGCGCGGCAGGUCGCACUGGGUCACGUCACCGUUAACGAUAACCGUCACGUUUUCCCCCAGGCGGGUC